rnacentral:rRNA from 1 species
UACGUAGGGGGCAAGCGUUGUUCGGAAUUACUGGGCGUAAAGGGCGCGUAGGCGGCACGGCAAGUCAGGAGUGAGAGGCCUGGGCUCAACCGAGGAACUGCUUUUGAGACUGCCGAGCUAGAGUGCAGAAGGGGCAACUGGAAUUCCCAGUGUAGCGGUGAAAUGCGUAGAUAUUGGGAAGAACACCUGAGGCGAAGGCGGGUUGCUGGGCUGACACUGACGCUGAGGCGCGGAAAGCCAGGGGAGCAAACGGG